GACGAACGCUGGCGGCGUGCUUAACACAUGCAAGUGGAGCGACGAACCAGGCUUCGGCCUGGGGCAGAGCCGCGAACGGGUGAGUAACACGUGGGUAACCUGCCUCGAUGACCGGGACAACCCGGGGAAACCCGGGCUAAUACCGGAUGUGCUGCCCUCACAUCAGUGAGGGUUGGAAAGGAAGCUUCGGCCUCCGCAUCGAGAUGGGCCCGCGGCCCAUUAGCUUGUUGGUGAGGAAAGGCUCACCAAGGCUGCGAUGGGUAGCUGGUCUGAGAGGACGAUCAGCCACACUGGGACUGAGACACGGCCCAGACUCCUACGGGAGGCAGCAGUGGGGAAUCUUGCGCAAUGCGCGAAAGCGUGACGCAGCAACGCCGCGUGGGGGAAGAAGGCCUCGGUCGUAACCC
rnacentral:rRNA from 1 species